rnacentral:rRNA from 1 species
GAUCUGGUUCAGGGACAGUGCCUGGUGGGUAGUUUAACUGGGGCGGUUGCCUCCCAAAAUGUAACGGAGGCGCCCAAAGGUUCCCUCAGCCUGGUUGGCAAUCAGGUGGCGAGUGCAAGUGCACAAGGGAGCUUGACUGUGAGACUGACAGGUCGAGCAGGGACGAAAGUCGGGACUAGUGAUCCGGCGGUGGCUUGUGGAAGCGCCGUCGCUCAACGGAUAAAAGGUACCCCGGGGAUAACAGGCUGAUCUUGCCCAAGAGUCCAUAUCGACGGCAUGGUUUGGCACCUCGAUGUCGGCUCGUCGCAUCCUGGGGCGGGAGUACGUCCCAAGGGUUGGGCUGUUCGCCCAUUAAAGCGGUACGCGAGCUGGGUUCAGAACGUCGUGAGACAGUUCGGUCCCUAUCUGCCAUGGGCGUUGGAAGUUUGAGAGGGGCUGCUCCUAGUACGAGAGGACCGGAGUGGACGAACCUCUGGUGUUCCGGUUGUCACGCCAGUGGCAUUGCCGGGUAGCUAUGUUCGGAAGCGAUAACCGCUGAAAGCAUCUAAGCGGGAAGCGCGCCUCAAGAUGAGACUUCCCGGGGCACAAGCCCCCUAAAGGAACCAUAUAGACUAUGUGGUUGAUAGGUC